UUGGAGGGCAAGUCUGGUGCCAGCAGCCGCGGUAAUUCCAGCUCCAAUAGCGUAUAUUAAAGUUGUUGCAGUUAAAAAGCUCGUAGUUGAAUUUCGGGAUCAAUAUGUCGGUCGUGCCUCGGUACGUACUGGCGUCAUUGGUUUCUCCCUUCUGAAGAACCACGAUGUCAUUAAUUUGGUGUCGUGGGGAAUCAGGGCUGUUACUUUGAAAAAAUUAGAGUGUUUAAAGCAGGCUCGCGCUUGAAUACAUUAGCAUGGAAUAAUGAAAUAGGACGUUUGAUUCUAUUUUGUUGGUUUCUAGGAUCGACGUAAUGAUUAAUAGGGAUAGUUGGGGGCAUUAGUAUUCAAUUGUCAGAGGUGAAAUUCUUGGAUUUAUUGAAGACUAACUACUGCGAAAGCAUUUGCCAAGGAUGUUUUCAUUAAUCAAGAACGAAAGUUAGGGGAUCGAAGACGAUCAGAUACCGUCGUAGUCUUAACCAUAAACUAUGCCGACUAGGGAUCGGAUGAUGUUAAUUUUUUAAUGACUCAUUCGGCGCCUUACGGGAAACCAAAGUGUUUGGGUUC
rnacentral:rRNA from 1 species